ensembl:lncRNA
CAUACUUUUAGAAAGACUCAUCGAAAAACCGCGGUCAGGUUCAGGUUAUGCUGAACACCACACAUGUCGAAGGCUCUUCAGCAAGUUUCAUCAACUGCAAAGGAUUCAGUAACGUCAGAGAACUACAGCGAUGCUUUUCAAAGUGCAGUACCGUGGAAAGAAGAAAUAUAUCAAGCUAAAUGGAGUCUCACAUCCAGCCUUUCUUCAGGAGGAUACUUCCGUCCUGUCCUCGUGCACAGACACCUUGUCACUAUCAUCACGCUCAUCAGACAGUGAUGCUUCUCUGAUGUCGCCAAAAAGACAACGCAUUGAUGACACCUUUCUUAUGUCCCCAAAAAGUCAGCAUAUUGAUGAUAGUUCAUCACAAGCCAGAGAGUUUGUCAAAAGAGUUCUGGAACAAAAGCCUGGAGGUGAGAAGAUACUUAAAGAAUAUGCAGUGAGAGGAGAGAUGAAAGACCGAACACGUCGUGACCUCAUCAACAUUGUUGUUGCUCAUCUGGUGGAAAAGUAUGGGCGUGCUCCACCUAUGGACAAAAGAACACAGUGCGCACUGGGGAUAGUAACAUUGUUCCCCUCUCUAAAAGAUCCCUACUCCAAAAAAGGCUAUGAACACUUUUUUGAUGCAAACAGCAAUGAGGGCUACAUUGCCUGGAAGCUUAAAAACACACAACGAGAACUCAGAAGUGGCAGUAACUGUGAAGGUAGGAGAAGGAGCUCUCACACCUCAAACAGAAGUGGGCCGGAGUUGGAGAGAGAGGUGAAUAAAGAGCAGCAGUUGGAGGGAGACCAGUGUUGUGAGGCCAUAUCGCUACUGAAGCACAGCACAGAUGAAGAACAUAUCUUCAUGAAAAUGAGAGAAACCUUCCAUCACAGACAAAAAUUGAUCCACGAUCCUGAGCAAAGCAGCACAGUGCUUACAGUGUUCCCAAGGUUCCUUGACACAAAAGGCUUGGUGUUGCAAGACUUUGACCUGUUAUUUGGAGCUGAGACUGCAUCAAAACUCCUCGAGAAAUGGGGAACACUCAAGUCCAAAGUCAUACAGCAAGCCAAAAACCUCAGCAAGACACCCCUGCUUGACUACUUCAUCCAGUCUGCUGAGGAGAACCCUGAUGAGGAUGGCGAGGUCCCAGGUUGGGAUAGUGACAUGGCUUCACUGCUACUGCUGGUCUUCCUCUUGCCACCACCACCAAGUGGAAAGAAGGGAGCUGUGAAGAUCAGUAUCCGGGAAGCUGUGGACCAUGUAGUCAGGUUUCAAAAGUCAUGUCGCAGCCUUCAGGAGCACUCUGGUACAGAGCAGCGGAGGCAGCCCUACAUCCUAGCAGUUGGGACGACAAGAAGAAGCAUCCAUGAGUACUACAUCACAUUGGAUGGUGAGCUCCUUCCCUGCAAGGCCAAGUCUUCCCUGUCAGCCUUUGAUGAACUUUUCAAAACACAUUAUGUGUUUGGCAUCUCUUAUAGUCAGGCUUUAAGCAGCAUGUACACAUUUGUGCAGACCAGCAUAUACAACAUUGAUGUAGGUCUUUCUCACGAACCUCCUAGAGUCAAGGACCUUAGAGCUAAGCUCCUCAACUGAAGAAUUCUGAUGUAUAAAUGCUUUGUUUGCAAAUCCAUUUUUGUCACCAUUCAAAAGUUGCCC